rnacentral:rRNA from 1 species
GACGAACGCUGGCGGCGUGCUUAACACAUGCAAGUCGAACGGUAAGGCCCUUCGGGGUACACGAGUGGCGAACGGGUGAGUAACACGUGGGUGAUCUGCCCUGCACUUCGGGAUAAGCCUGGGAAACUGGGUCUAAUACCGGAUAGGACCACUGCCUGCAUGGGUGGUGGGGGAAAGCUUGUGCGGUGUGGGAUGGGCCCGCGGCCUAUCAGCUUGUUGGUGGGGUGAUGGCCUACCAAGGCGACGACGGGUAGCCGGCCUGAGAGGGUGACCGGCCACACUGGGACUGAGAUACGGCCCAGACUCCUACGGGAGGCAGCAGUGGGGAAUAUUGCACAAUGGGCGCAAGCCUGAUGCAGCGACGCCGCGUGAGGGAUGACGGCCUUUGGGUUGUAAACCUCUUUCAGCACCGACGAAGCACAAGUGACGGUAGGUGCAGAAGAAGGACCGGCCAACUACGUGCCAGCCGCCGCGGUAA